GAUGAACGCUGGCGGCGUGCUUAAUACAUGCAAGUCGAACGAAGCUCCGUCCUUGUCUUCGGAUCCAGGAGACUUAGUGGCGAACGGGUGAGUAACGCGUUGGUAACCUGCCCCCAAGUGGGGGAUAGCCUUGCGAAAGGACUGCUAAUACCCGAUGUGGUCAUCAGGGUUAGAUACCUUAUGAUUAAAGGAGUAAUUGCCGCUUGGGGAGGGGCCUGCGUCCCAUCAGCUAGUUGGUAGGGUAAUGGCCUACCAAGGCUAUUGACGGGUAGGGGACCUGAGAGGGUGGCCCCCCACACUGGCACUGAAACACUGGCCAGACACCUACGGGUGGCAGCAGUGGGGAAUAUUGGACAAUGGGCGAAAGCCUGAUCCAGCAACGCCGCGUGGGCGAUGACGGCCUUCGGGUUGUAAAGCCCUUUUAAGGGAGAUGAGAAAGGACAGUAUCCCUUGAAUAAGCCUCGGCGAACUACGUGCCAGCAGCCGCGGUAAAACGUAGGAGGCAAGCGUUAUCCGGAUUUAUUGGGCGUAAAGCGCGUGCAGGCUGCUUGGAAAGUUGGAUGUGAAAGCUCCUGGCUUAACUGGGAGAGGUCGUUCAAAACUACCAAGCUAGAGAAUGGGAGAGGGAAAUGGAAUUCCGGGUGUAGUGGUGAAAUGCGUAGAUAUCCGGAGGAACACCAGUGGCGAAAGCGGCUUCCUAGACCAUUUCUGACGCUUAGACGCGAAAGCUAGGGGAGCGAACGGGAUUAGAGACCCCGGUAGUCCUAGCUGUAAACGAUGUAGACUUGGCGUUGGCGGAGUUAAAUCUGCCAGUGCCGGAGCUAACGCGUUAAGUCUACCGCCUGGGGACUACGACCGCAAGGUUAAAACUCAAAGGAAUUGACGGGGACCCGCACAAGCAGCGGAGCGUGUGGUUUAAUUCGAUGCUACACGAAGAACCUUACCAGGGUUUGACAUGCAAGUGGUAGGAAUCUGAAAAGGGACCGACCCUUCGGGGAGCUUGCACAGGUGCUGCAUGGCUGUCGUCAGCUCGUGUCGUGAGAUGUUCGGUUAAGUCCGCUAACGAGCGCAACCCUCACUGUGUGUUAUAUGUGUCACACGGGACUGCCGGUUUUAAGCCGGAGGAAGGUGGGGAUGACGUCAAGUCAGCAUGGCCUUUAUAUCCUGGGCUACACACACGCUACAAUGGUCGGUACAAUAGGUUGCCAAGCCGCGAGGCGGAGCCAAUCCACAAAGCCGGCCUCAGUUCAGAUUGUAGGCUGCAACUCGCCUGCAUGAAGAUGGAGUUGCUAGUAACCGCAGGUCAGCAAUACUGCGGUGAAUACGUUCCCGGGUCUUGUACACACCGCCCGUCACGUCAUGGAAGCUGGCAACACCUGAAGCCGGUAUCCUAACCGCAAGGAAGGAGCCGUCGAAGGUGGG
rnacentral:rRNA from 1 species